CCUACGGGAGGCUGCAGUGAGGAAUAUUGGUCAAUGGACGAGAGUCUGAACCAGCCAAGUAGCGUGAAGGAUGACUGCCCUAUGGGUUGUAAACUUCUUUUAUAAAGGAAUAAAACGUGGCACGUGUGCCUUUUUGCAUGUACUUUAUGAAUAAGGAUCGGCUAACUCCGUGCCAGCAGCCCCGGUAAUACGGAGGAUCCGAGCGUUACCCGGAUUUAGUGGGUGUAAAGGGAACGUCGAUGGGUUGGUAAGUCAGUUGUGAAAGUUUGCGGCUCAACCUGAAAAUUGCAAUUGAUACUGGCAGGCUUGAGUACAGUUGAGGUAAGCAGAAUUCGUGGUGUAGCGGUGAAAUGCUUAGAUAUCACGAAGAACCCCGAUUGCGAAGGCAGCUUACUAAACUGUGACUGACAUUGAUGCUCGAAAGUGUGGGUAUCAAACAGGAUUAGAUACCCCGGUAGUC
rnacentral:rRNA from 1 species